AUGUGUGUACCCAAGAAUCAAGGAGGAAUGGGCUUUCAGGAUAUCCAUUGUUUCAAUUUGGCUAUGCUCGCUAAACAGGCCUGGCGUCUCAUUGAGAAUCGAGAUUCUCUAUGUGCUACCAUUUUGACUGUCAAAUACUAUCCUGACGGUGACUUGUUGAACACUAAACUAAAGAAGGGCUCUUCCUUCACCUAGCAAAGUAUUAUGAAAGGUGUGAGUACCCUGAAACGGGGUCACAUUUGGCUAGUGGGGAAUUGUCAGAAUGCCUGGAUUACAAGUUGUGCAAACUGUAAAAUUAUUACUUUCUAA
rnacentral:rRNA from 1 species